GAUGGUAGAUCUUGGACUUCCACAAAUUGUUCAAAGUUUGAAAGCACAGGCCUGGAGUGACGAGUUGGAAAGCAACUUAUGAUAAUUUGCUUGGGACCAACAAGCCUUUUCCACGCCCGAUUCCUCUACCGGAAAUGGUGAAUUUUCUUGUGGAUGUCUGGGAAGAAGAGGGAUUGUAUGAAUGAAUCGCUGCAAGAUGAAGGGAUCGAUGUUUUUUUUCAGCCACCUGCAACAUGAUUAUUUAGUUGAUAUCGUUGUGCAGAGUUUGUGUUUGUUUCAGCUGGUCUGAACCUACGAAUUGGGGUUC